CUAGGUUUGGCUCCAACUUUCUAUUGUUUCAAAGAGUUACUGAAAAUCCCCUUGCUUAUGUGAUCUCUCCAUUUUUAAGUGUUGACCGUCAACUCACAUUUUCCCAAGACAGCCACGAAAUCAAACAGAACAGAUUCUGCAGGACACACUUGGCCACCAUUCUCUGGUUUACAUCACUUGUCUUAAAGAGGAAGGGAAUGAGCUGGUUUCCACGCUGGGAAGAUCUUGUGUUCCAUUUGAGCUUUGGUGCAGGGCUGUCGUGCGGAAUGCAAGCAGACAGCGCCAGCGGCUAACACUACCCAGUUCCUAAUGGGUGCCAGACACUGUUCUAGGCGCUGUACCUAAAUAAAACAGUUCAUGUGAUACCCCAACCAUGACGCUAUUUCAUUCGGGUCACAAAGGGGUUAAAUAAACCGGCGGCGGCAAGUCCAUUUUCAGCACCAGUUAAGUCACGGAUUGAAAACUGCUGGUAGGAGGGCGUAGUUCCUUCAGGGACUUAGAGACGAAGGUUGACUCCCCACGCCUUGUGGUUUUCUUAGGACAGGCGAAGGGUUCCUGGUCGGGGGACGGACAGCCAGUGUGCAUCCUCCUGGCGGGGGGCCACUGUGCAUUUGGGGAUUAGCAAAAGGAGUGACUGGAUCCACGGGGAGGGAGGAACGUGCGAGGGGGUCCUGCCGCCCAGAAACCCAGCGGCAGAGACAACUAACUUUUCUUGGCGGACGAGGGAGAGGGGGCCGUGGUCUUCCUAACCCCGGGGCUUGGCUCGGGGCCCCCUGUGACUGCCCCCAGGGCCAAGCUCCCACCUCUAAGGGCAGAGCGCGCGCGCACGUGUGCGUGUGUGUGUGUGGGGGGGGGGAGGACUUGGUGAUCGAGGGUCACGCGCAGGUGGCUUUGCCGCGGUGGUGGCGGCGGUCGCAGAGGCGACACCGCUGGACGCGGCGGCGGAGGGACAGCCGGCCACAGGCGCCGCGGGGCGGGCCAGGUGCGCGCGGGUCUCGCCUCCCGGAGCCGCAGCGCCGCGGGGUGGUUUGAUAUCAAAUCUGUCUGCACCUGUGGUGAUUUGAUGACUAUCUGAAAGUGCUGAGAAUGACAGGGCUGGAAGGGGCCAGAGAAAUCUUCCAUUCCACUCCUCCUCAUUUACAGAUGAGAAGACUCCUCACCCUGGAAAUGGAUUUUAGGCUGAUUGGGAGAACUUUUGUUCAUUAGGCUUAGAUUUUUCUGGCAAGCUCUCCUGCUUCCUUUUGUGUCUGAGAGAUGUAAAAAUUGGUCAUUGAAAUCGUCUCCUUUGAAAAAGAAUGAAUAGCUCUUCAGAGAUAGUGUCCUGAUCAGGUUCUGUAGGUAGAUCUGGGACUAAAUGUGCCUAGACUCAAAAGAAAUUCUCACUCAGGAAUAAAGAAUGCAGGCUAUGAAAAGACUAUGUAAAU
rnacentral:lncRNA from 12 species